CGAUGCUGGGAAGUGAGGGAGUUGCUCAUUACAACAGAGCAGCUUUUUGUUAAGUUACGGCCUCCUGUGUCUCCUUGUCCAUGACUUGCAGACCUCCAUGAGCCUGACAAGACAGAGGACUGCACGCAAGAUUACAUCAAAUCCUUCCUCCGUCCUGACAUGAUGAUUGCAACCAACGACAAAACAUAUGACAGUAGAGCCAGGCUCUCCCUGAUAAGGAUGAUGGAUGGGGCAGAACUCUGGCUCCAGCCAAGCCCGGCAGCUUCCUGGGAGCUGAGAGAUACUGAGGGGGAGGUGGGGAGAUCAUCAUCGACCGUGAGGAGUUAGCCA